GUGGAAAACCAUUGUUUAUUGUCUGCAACUUGAUGGUAUAUCCUACAUAGAUUAAUACACAUGAAACCCAAGUAGAAUCAAAGAUGAAAGUAGGCAGAACGUAUACCCAUAGUAGAUCAUAUAAUAACUCGGUAUAAUGUAUAACCAUAUGAACGCAAAUAAUGGACUUGUCUCUUAGAGGCAUGAGUUUUUAUUAGUUGUUAG
rnacentral:lncRNA from 1 species